GGCUCAGAUGAAACGCUGGCGGCAUGCCUAACACAUGCAAGUCGAACGAGGCAGCAAUGCCUAGUGGCGGACGGGUGAGGAAUACGUAGGAAUUUGCCCUUAAGUGGGGGAUAACCCGGGGAAACCCGGAUUAAUACCGCAUGAACUCGAGAGAGCAAAGCAGGGGACCGCAAGGCCUUGCGCUUUUGGAGAAGCCUACGUCGGAUUAGCUAGUUGGUAGGGUAAAGGCCUACCAAGGCGACGAUCCGUAACUGGUCUGAGAGGAUGAUCAGUCACACCGGAACUGAGACACGGUCCGGACUCCUACGGGAGGCAGCAGUGGGGAAUAUUGGACAAUGGGGGCAACCCUGAUCCAGCAAUGCCGCGUGUGUGAAGAAGGCCUUCGGGUUGUAAAGCACUUUAGGUUGGGAAGAAAACACUCGAGCUAUAUCUUGAGUCUUGACGGUACCGACAGAAUAAGCACCGGCUAACUCUGUGCCAGCAGCCGCGGUAAUACAGAGGGUGCAAGCGUUAAUCGGAUUUACUGGGCGUAAAGCGUGCGUAGGCGGUUGGUUAAGUCGGAUGUGAGAGCCCUGGGCUCAACCUGGGAAUGGCAUUCGAUACUGAUCAGCUAGAGAACGGUAGAGGGAGGCGGAACUCCAGGUGUAGCAGUGAAAUGCGUAGAUAUCUGGAAGAACACCGAUGGCGAAGGCAACCUCCUGGGCCUGUUCUGACGCUGAGGCACGAAAGCGUGGGGAGCAAACAGGAUUAGAUACCCUGGUAGUCCACGCUGUAAACGAUGAGAACUUGACGUCGGCCUGCUCACGCGGGUCGGUGUCGAAGCUAACGCGCUAAGUUCUCCGCCUGGGGAGUACGACCGCAAGGUUGAAACUCAAAG
rnacentral:rRNA from 1 species